CACGUAGGUGAUCUGCCCUUGUAGUUGGGGAUAGCCUGUGGAAACACAGGGUAAUACCGAAUAAUCUUACAGAUUUUGUUUUGUAAGGAAAGGAGCUACGGCUUCGCUAUAGGAUGAGCCUGCGGCCAAUUAGUUAGUUGGUGGGGUAAUGGCCUACCAAGACGAUGAUAGGUAGCCGGCCUGAGAGGGUGAACGGCCACACUGGGACUGAGAUACGGCCCAGACUCCUACGGGAGGCAGCAGCUAAGAAUCUUCCGCAAUGGACGAAAGUCUGACGGAGCGACGCCGCGUGGAUGAUGAAUGCCGAGAGUUGUAAAAUCCUUUUAUGUAGGGAAGAAUAAUGAUAUCAGGUAAUGGGUA
rnacentral:rRNA from 1 species